rnacentral:rRNA from 1 species
CCUACGGGAGGCAGCAGUGAGGAAUAUUUGUCAAUGGCCGUAAGGCUGAACCAGCGAAGUCGCGUGAAGGAAGAAGGAUCUUUGGUUUGUAAACUUCUUUCAUAGGGGAACAAAGGUAUCCACGUGUGCAUAUUUGCAUGUACCCUAUGAAUAAGCAUCGGCGAACUCCGUGCCAGCAGCCGUGGUAAUACGGAGGAUGCGAGCGUUAUCCGGAUUCAUUGGGUUUAAAGGGUGCGUAGGUUGUUUUUUAAGUCAGCGGUGAAAGUUUGGGGCUCAACCAUAAGAUUGCCGUUGAAACUGGAAGACUUGAGUGUGUUUGGGGUAGUCGGAAUUCGUGGUGUAGCAGUGAAAUGCGUAGAUAUCGCGAGGAACCCCGAUUGCGAAGGCAGCUUACUAGACUGUGACUGACGUUGAUGCUCGAAGGUGAGGGGAUCAAACGGGAUUAGAUACCCGUGUAGUC